rnacentral:rRNA from 1 species
UUCUGGCUCAGGAUGAACGCUAGCGACAGGCUAACACAUGCAAGUCGAGGGGCAGCAUAAAAGUAGCAAUACUUGGUGGCGACCGGCGCACGGGUGAGUAACGCGUAUGCAACCUACCUAUCAGAGGGGAAUAACCCGGCGAAAGUCGGACUAAUACCGCAUAAAACAGGGACACCGCAUGGUGAUAUUUGUUAAAGAAAUUCGCUGAUAGAUGGGCAUGCGUUCCAUUAGGUAGUUGGUGAGGUAACGGCUCACCAAGCCGACGAUGGAUAGGGGAACUGAGAGGUUGGUCCCCCACACUGGUACUGAGACACGGACCAGACUCCUACGGGAGGCAGCAGUGAGGAAUAUUGGUCAAUGGGCGAGAGCCUGAACCAGCCAAGUCCGCGUGAAGGAAGAAGGAUCUAUGGUUCGUAAACUUCUUUUGCAGGGGAAUAAAGUGCAGGACGUGUCCUGUUUUGUAUGUACCCUGAGAAUAAGGAUCGGCUAACUCCGUGCCAGCCGCCGC